rnacentral:pre_miRNA from 1 species
UGUUAAUAAUUUCAUCCAUUUCUACUGUUAAAAACUGGCUUGGCUGACAGAAUAACCAAAACACCUGUACCUCAAUUUAACAUUCAAUGACCAAUUUUUAAUAGUAAAAUGGAUGGAACUUUUUUAUCC